UACGUAGGGGGCGAGCGUUGUCCGGAGUUACUGGGCGUAAAGCGCACGUAGGCGGCUUUGCAAGUCAGAGGUGAAAGCCCGGGGCUCAACCCCGGAAUUGCCUUUGAGACUGCAUCGCUAGAAUUGUGGAGAGGUAAGUGGAAUUCCGAGUGUAGAGGUGAAAUUCGUAGAUAUUCGGAAGAACACCAGUGGCGAAGGCGACUUACUGGACACAUAUUGACGCUGAGGUGCGAAAGCGUGGGGAGCAAACAGG
rnacentral:rRNA from 1 species